UACGUAGGGUGCAAGCGUUGUCCGGAAUCAUUGGGCGUAAAGCGCACGUAGGUGGCCUGUUAAGUCGGGUGUGAAAGCCCUCGGCUCAACCGAGGAAGUGCAUUCGAAACUAGCAGGCUUGAGUAUGGAAGAGGGUCGUGGAAUUCCCGGUGUAGAGGUGAAAUUCGUAGAUAUCGGGAGGAACACCAGUGGCGAAGGCGGCGACCUGGGCCAAUACUGACACUGAGGUGCGAAAGCGUGGGGAGCAAACAGG
rnacentral:rRNA from 1 species